UGAGGAAUAUUGGUCAAUGGACGGAAGUCUGAACCAGCCAAGUCGCGUGAAGGAUGACUGCCCUAUGGGUUGUAAACUUCUUUUGUAUUGGGAGAAUAAGCCUUACGUGUAAGGUGAUGACUGUACAAUACGAAUAAGCAUCGGCUAACUCCGUGCCAGCAGCCGCGGUAAUACGUAGGGGGCGAGCGUUGUCCGGAUUUACUGGGCGUAAAGGGUGAGUAGGUGGUUAUACAAGUCAGAUGUGAAAUGGCAGAGCUCAACUCCGUCAUGCAUUUGAAACUGUAAAACUUGAGUGCAGGAGAGGUAAGUGGAAUUCCUAGUGUAGCGGUGAAAUGCGUAGAUAUUAGGAGGAACACCAGUGGCGAAGGCGACUUACUGGACUGUAACUGACACUGAGUCACGAAAGCGUGGGUAGCGAACA
rnacentral:rRNA from 1 species